GAAGGUUAUAUACAAUGUUUCAGAAAUGAAUUAACAAGCCCUUGUAAAAUAUGCGCCAGAUGCAUUUGGACUUGUGUCAGUUUCUUCUUCAUGAAGGUGUAGAUAGAAAGUAAGAAAAUAAGCAGACACUUAUUAAUUUUCUCUCUUGCGGCACCGUGUCUUGUGACAUACACUUGUGACAUAUUUUGGAAUUGGAAAAAGUAUAUGGAAUGUAUCGCAAGAUGUGCACACAUACAGUUACACCCAUAUGCGCACUAUACUUGUUUCUUUUGCUAUAUACAUAUGCGUAUUGUUUAAUAGAAACAUUUAUUAUCUGAAAGGAAAAAAUGUUCCUGCUGAUGCACAAAAGCGUAACCAUAUACUGAUAUAUCUAAACACUUAUGAUACUUGCCCUGCAGAAUGACACAAUUUAGAGCAAAUACUUAAAUAAAGUGUUAUGCUUGCAGAUAUCCAAACUGUCGAAACGCAAUCUCUGCAAUAUACAAUUGUUGUAAAUAUAUGUAUGCAAAACAUAUAAUGGUGCAAGUUGGGGAAAAAAUGCCUUACGAUUUAGAACAGAUACAUUAGAAGCAAUUGUGCUAAGCAUUUAACGAAUAAAAUCAUUUAUAUAUUAUUUA